UGUGCCGUGGCGGAGAUCUUUGUGGGCUAUACUCGGCCUUGUCUCAGGAUGACCCCACACUCAUCGCUAGAGAUCGAACUUCAGACUCCCUCCAAAACCACUGAACCCCUCAACACACCGAAAGAGAUUACGAUAUACCCCCUUAGAGGGAGCCGGAACAGGAUAACUCCCUCCACCAUCACAAAGACACAGAGGAGGAGGAACUAUCCAACACCCAGGGAGAGAGAACGAGUGACCUCAGUCGAACACAGCCAGAAAGAGGAGGUGGAAGAGGUGUUAGAUAGAGGAUGUGAGCAAGAAAGAGCAGAAGGCUUCUGGUCAGCCAAAUGGCAGGCAGAGGGAGAGGUCAUAGUGAUUCACACCCAGAGAGAAAGACAACCCACACAACCUCUUGGUUGAGAUGAACCGCACAGCGUUAGAGGCAGAGGGCUUUCAUCGCUAGCCAGUCAGCCUGCCUGCUCUGAUCCUCAAGUCAAUUGUAUUUAAAUUCAUGUUCAUUAAAGAUUUUUAUUCAAGAAUU